CAGAAGUACCCGACAUCUCACUCGAUUCAAUUAAAUUGAUUUCAUUUAAUCAUGGUUGAAUUAGGGCACAAAUUGCUCAAUAGAAAUCAGGGGUGAACAAAUAUAACAGGCUUGAUAAGGGUGGGGCCAACAUGCCAUCCAAUAACUGUGGAUUAGAACCUCCUUCACCAGGAUCAAUGAAAAUCAUUGAGAGGAGCCCUUUGUUGGAUUUGACCACC
rnacentral:lncRNA from 1 species